AACAUUGACUCAGACUUGAAUCUGAUGCGGUAGGCGGUAGCCCUGACUCUGAUCCGUAGAUUUCACACCGGCGGGCGUUUUGAAUGCCCGCGAGGCCCGAGACAGGCCGAGUUCUUCGUUCGACGUUCGGUGUUCGCACUGAACAGACUGAAAUGGGAGAGGACGUUCAAGAUUACUCGUCACGUCGUUGAGGCUCGGGUCCAGGCACAUCCCCGGUUACAACACGUGGCAGCCGUGAGGAGGGUUAAACCAGCGCCGGCGGCGGUCCGCCG